AAGUCGUAACAAGGUUUCCGUAGGUGAACCUGCGGAAGGAUCAUUAAUGAUUUUUAAAGCGAGUCGAGCGUUUGAGCGAGGCUUGCGAAAUAUUUAAAACCCCACUCUUUUUAACCUUAAAAUAUAAAUCAUGAUAAAAAAAAAGAUCACUUUCAACAACGGAUCUCUUGGCUCUC
rnacentral:misc_RNA from 1 species